rnacentral:rRNA from 1 species
CCUACGGGAGGCAGCAGUGAGGAAUAUUGGUCAAUGGCCGCAAGCCUGAACCAGCCAAGUCGCGUGAAGGAUGAAGGACCUAUGGUUUGUAAACUUCUUUUAUAGGGGAAUAAAGUUAUGCACGUGUGCCUAUUUGCAUGUAUCCUAUGAAUAAGCAUCGGCUAACUCCGUGCCAGCAGCCGCGGUAAUACGGAGGAUCCGAGCGUUAUCCGGAUUUAUUGGGUUUAAGGGGAGCGUAGGUGGUUUUUUAAGUCAGCGGUGAAAGUUUGUGGCUCAACCGUAAAAUUGCCGUUGAUACUGGCAGACUUGAGUGUAUUUGAGGUAGGCGGAAUUCGUGGUGUAGCGGUGAAAUGCAUAGAUAUCACGCAGAACUCCGAUUGCGAAGGCAGCUUACUAAGCCGUAACUGACACUGAUGCACGAAAGCGUGGGGAUCAAACAGGAUUAGAUACCCUAGUAGUC